AGGACGAACGCUGGCGGCGUGCUUAACACAUGCAAGUCGAGCGGUGAAGGUGGUGCUUGCACCACCGGAUCAGCGGCGAACGGGUGAGUAACACGUGAGUAACCUGCCCUUGACUCUGGGAUAACCCCGGGAACCGGAGCUAAUACCGGAUACGACCCGCACAGGCAUCUAGGUGGGUGGAAAGAUUUAUCGGUCAAGGAUGGACUCGCGGCCUAUCAGCUUGUUGGUGAGGUAACGGCCCACCAAGGCGACGAC
rnacentral:rRNA from 1 species